rnacentral:rRNA from 1 species
UGGGGAAUCUUGCGCAAUGGACGAAAGUCUGACGCAGCGACGCCGCGUGGGUGAUGAAGGCCUUCGGGUUGUAAAGCCCGGUGGGGAGGGACGAAUAAGUGCUGGCUAACAUCCAGCGCGAUGACGGUACCUCCUUAGCAAGCACCGGCUAACUCUGUGCCAGCAGCCGCGGUAAGACAGAGGGUGCAAACGUUGUUCGGAAUUACUGGGCGUAAAGCGCGUGGAGGCGGCUUCGCAAGUCGGAUGUGAAAGCCCUCGGCUCAACCUGGGAAGUGCAAUCGAAACUGCGGAGCGAGAGUCCCGGAGAGGAUGGUGGAAUUCUCGUUGUAGAGGUGAAAUUCGUAGAUAUCGAGAGGAACACCGGUGGCGAAGGCGGACAUCUGGACGGUGACUGACGCUGAGACGCGAAAGCGUGGGGAGCAAACA